AACAAAUUGUGUCAUGGAAGUUAAUAAGGGCGUAAUUUAUUAGAGGAUAAAGCGUCAGACAGGUGAGACCCAGUGAUGGUGCUGACCUACUGGCGGGGGAUGGUUUAUCAUUGACUCACUGUGGUUCGUCAGAUUAUUGCGUCAGAUUCAUUUUCAUCUAAAAAGAAAUAAACCUUAAGAUUAUUAUUUGGAUGUUAAUCGAAUUGGUAAGAUGAUGACACUAUUUAUAUUUUAUAUGGUAGAUAGUUAUAUAAUGAGUCACGUGCAAUUGCAUGACAUAUGUGAAUAUAUUGUACGUUCCGAAGAAACGGGAGAACGUGCAGGUGAUGACGGUGGUGCGUCUGCUGCCUGGCCAAGUUAACCAGUCAGCGUGUCGCCUCUGUUUCAACUCCCAGCCUGAUAGAAUUUUUUUUUUUUUUUUUUUGUAACCACGCCUACACAGUGGCUGCCAAGGCUGCCAUGAGUUAAACCUUCUUUAGUUGGUAAUGAGGAAGGCGUAGGCUCUAGCAGUGGACACCUGAAGGCAGCAGUGGGUGAAAACAAGCAAAAUAAAGAAAAGUUUGGCUGUGAGAAGGUGCUAGACAGCCAGCCACAGUGACGAGGAGGCAAGAAGGUAGAUCACAACCACCACCACCAUCACCAUCACCACCACAGGGAAGUGAGAGAUGGGGAGGAGGAUUGUUUGCAGUGCGCUGUCAGCCCUCACCUGCGCCGCCUCCCCCAGUGAGCGGGUGUAGGCCUGGGAAUAGAACAUAUGCAAAUGUCUUGGCAGUGCUGUGUAUGUCUGUUUGUCGAUGGUCAAGAAGGAACGUAGCAAAAGUUUAAGGUCUGU